GAAGAUGAUGAUGAUGAUUAUGAUGAAGAAGGUGAAGAAGCGGAUGAGGAAGGGGGAGAAGAAGGAGAUGAGGAAAAUGAUCCAGACUAUGACCCAAAGAAGGAUCAAAACCCAGCAGAGUGCAAACAGCAGUGAAGCAGGUUGUAUGUGGCCUUGAGGAUAACCUGCACUGGUCUACCUUCUGCUUCUCUGGAAAGGAUGAAUUUACAUCAUUUGACAAACCUAUUUCAAGUUUUUUGUUACUGUUUGUUUUGCUUGUUUUUGUUUUUGCAGCCUAAAAUAAAAAUGUCAAAUACAAUUUUAAUUUUCUAAGAUAAUGUCUUAACUUUGUACUAAUUUAGGUUAGAAGCAAGGCUUAGUUUGAAUUAAGGGUUGUGCCCAGUUAAUCAUAUUGAAGAAAAGGGUGCCAACUUCAGAAAAGUAUACUACCAGAAAACAAGUGUUUUAAAAAAAAACUUAAAUGAUGUAAUACUUUUUUAAAAAGAAAAAUUAAAAAGUUAAAUUCCAUUUCCUCAUGUUUGGGACUAGAGAGAAGACCCCAAGCUUCUAUGAUUUAUCUAAUUCUUAAGCUUUUGUUUAGUAUGUAUUAAAAUGGGUAGUACUGUUUACCUAACUACCUCACCUAUGUGUUAAAGCAUAUUAAAUCUCAUGAAAUGUUUCA